UCUAAACGAUACGCGGGUGACGUUGAAGUUAUUGAAUGAUGGGGUUGGUCCUAGUGAAGUUGGAGGGUCCAGCUCCCAAACACAAUAUUUGAAGGACCCUAAAAGAGUAACGCACAAAGGAAGCUCGAAACGAGUAAAGGGAGCAAAGGAAACGAGAAUGGAGCGAGGGAUCCGACAUUGUCAGCAAUGUGGACAAACUAGUCAUGAUAUAAGACGAUGUCCAAGAAUGGCGAACACACCGACAUCCCCAUCAAACAAUGAAGAAUCAACUCCGAUCAAUCUUAGUGACCCGUUAUUCGAUGAAUUUGAUAGCAUGCACGGACCUACCAAGUGAUUUAUGUUUUUACUAUACGAAGCUCAUUUGCCGUCAAUAUUGGUGAGCUUCAAUAUGAAGAAAUCUUAUUAUUUUGUGUUGUUUCA